AAACAAGAGAAAAAUCAGUGAGGUUAAAUUACGGCUCUUCGACUGGUGUCGGAGGAAGCUCGGUCCGUUUCGUGAGAUCGUGCACAAGUGCAGAGUAGCGGAUAAGGGUCAACGAUGCAACGACCCAUAGUUACGCUUCAAAGUCUCUCGGCCGGCUUAACAAUGUAAUUUCGAUUUCAAGAAAUUUCUCGCUCGGCUAUCAACCAAUGUACUCUCAGGUUCAUUCUUCCGCUCUUAAAAAUCAACCGACUCUCGUCGAUUGCGUUCCUUUGAUUCUUGAUUAAUCGAUUUCGCAAUGAAAAGAAUCGUUGGAAUUACUACAAACGUUGGUUGAAUUCUAUAUCGAAUAAAUAUUUAAUUAGGACGAAUUAAAAGCACACGUCAGAAUUUACCUGACGUAUGUACGUUAAUAAUGAGUUCACGAGAAAAUUUUUACGCGUUAUGGUUACGUUAGAAGGGAAAAAAUGUUUUCCAAUUUUUUUUCCGAGAACGAACGAAUAAUCUCGAAUAUCGAUCGACUGGGAAUAUACACGUAUGUAUGAACACGAACACGUGUGAAUAAGACUCGUAAAAGUUUUUCUUUCCAGAAUCGAACCCUUUCAAAGGGAUAUAUAUUUAUUUAGCAAGAAAGGAUCUGUAUGAAUUAACGAGAAAGA